rnacentral:other from 1 species
GCGGCGCUGCGCGGUGCGCGAUGCCAUUUAUCCCUGGGGCCAAUACAAUCCUCUUGGGAGCUGUCCCUGCCGCGGUCGUGGCCGCGGUAUAUGGCGCCCACCUGCGUUAGCAGGCCACAGAGGAUAUGCAUGGCGGGACGGCCGCCGCGGCGUCGCC